GCUUAUCGAUAACAUAUACUCUCAGACUCAGCAAUAUCACUAACCAUACAGUAUAUACAUAUGUACAUAGAUGUGCCAGUUCAUACUACGAAAGCUUCACACACACGGGUUUUGGUCUUGGCACCCCAGAGACUUCGGCUCUGGCGUUUGGGUACUGACGCGUCAUCAGAGAGAGAACGCAUGUAUUUGUUCCCAGCAGUACUGGGAACUAGUUCGGAGGUGGUGAUAUCACCACUCCCUAACAGACCAGGGGUACUUUCUUUACUAACCCUUAACAAUGCUUUUCAUCAUUCCCAUUUUUACCCGCGAGUUUAAAACCCAGCUUGUAGCUACUGAAAUGGGUACCCAUCUGUUAUUGUUGUUCGCGGUGGUACUAAUUUGGAAGAAGCGUUAUUAUGCAGCUGAAGGACUUUUACAAGCCUUUUUAGCCUUAUGUCAUCUAUAAAUAUAAAUUACAGAUAUAAUGUGCAUACAAAAACAAAAAAAUGUACUUCCAAGUAACACCCCAUACAAAUUCCUUAAAUUUUUAAAUGCCGAUUUGAUUUGGACUCCUUCGCCGUUAUAUUGCAUAACGACGGCAUUCUCCAAAAUGUUAAAAUUAAAAUAUUAAAAAAAUAAUGUUAAAUCCCGCUGCGCUGUAAAUCAAUUUUUAUGGCAUCAAUCUGUAAAAAGAACACUAUUCAAAAAUAUGCAAUCAAAUUGUAAUUUCAAAUAUAUUUACGUAUUAGUGCUGUUUAUUUCCAUGCUCAGCUCUAUUAGUUAAUACAGGGAAACAAUUGGCGACUAUUUGCCCCUGUGCCUGCUGCCUCACUAGACUCUUCAACGUACCAGCUUGCUCUGCAGGCAUUUGUUCGAUAGAUGUAUUAUGUUGGAUUAUAAGCCAACUAGCCUCUAAUAUAAACCUCUACUAGGAUUCAUUUGGAGAUCUUGUCAGUCCUUAACGUUACCUUAGAAGCUCGCAGUUUUGUAUUUAUGAGUUAUAUAUUUUUUA
rnacentral:sRNA from 1 species